rnacentral:rRNA from 1 species
AGAGUUUGAUCCUGGCUCAGAUUGAACGCUGGCGGCAGGCCUAACACAUGCAAGUCGAGCGGCAGCGGGAAAGUAGCUUGCUACUUUUGCCGGCGAGCGGCGGACGGGUGAGUAAUGCCUAGGAAUCUGCCUGGUAGUGGGGGAUAACGUUCGGAAACGGACGCUAAUACCGCAUACGUCCUACGGGAGAAAGCAGGGGACCUUCGGGCCUUGCGCCAUCAGAUGAGCCUAGGUCGGAUUAGCUAGUUGGUGAGGUAAUGGCUCACCAAGGCGACGAUCCGUAACUGGUCUGAGAGGAUGAUCAGCCACACUGGAACUGAGACACGGUCCAGACUCCUACGGGAGGCAGCAGUGGGGAAUAUUGCACAAUGGGGGAAACCCUGAUGCAGCCAUGCCGCGUGUGUGAAGAAGGCCUUCGGGUUGUAAAGCACUUUCAGCGAGGAGGAAAGGUUGGCGCCUAAUACGUGUCAACUGUGACGUUACUCGCAGAAGAAGCACCGGCUAACUCCGUGCCAGCAGCCGCGGUAAUACGGAGGGUGCAAGCGCUAAUCGGAAUUACUGGGCGUAAAGCGCACGCAGGCGGUUGGAUAAGUUAGAUGUGAAAGCCCCGGGCUCAACCUGGGAAUUGCAUUUAAAACUGUCCAGCUAGAGUCUUGUAGAGGGGGGUAGAAUUCCAGGUGUAGCGGUGAAAUGCGUAGAGAUCUGGAGGAAUACCGGUGGCGAAGGCGGCCCCCUGGACAAAGACUGACGCUCAGGUGCGAAAGCG